AGGGAAAGAUAUAUAUAUAUAUAGGUAAAAAUAAAGAUAUAUAGGUAAUAAAUCUUGCCGUAAUUUAUUGUCUUUUUAAUGUAUAAUAAUAUCUCACCCUGAUGCAAAUAUGGUAACUACUCCGGUAGAAUCGAACACUGAUGUAUGCAUGGUAUAAUAAAUCUUGCCGUGGACGCAUCCAUAAUCAUGAGUAUCUCACGUAACACACACCUAUGCGUGAUCGGCAACGCUACUGAUUACAUGGAAUAUAUCUAUUUUAGGGCAGUGAGGGGUGUUUGUAUCUCAGAUAAUGCCAUAUGUAAACUGCCAAUCUCCAGAUCGUCAUGUAUGGGAUGCGUCAAUAUUUCCUUUUAGCAAGACUAGAGUGCCGCCUAUAUAUACUGCGGCCGGAGGGGUUCACGGUCAUUGCCUCUUAGGUUUACAGAGAAGAAUAGAUUUCCACGAUCGAGUUGAAGAUCAACCAUGAGAGGGAGCGGCCUUGUGUUCGUGAUCGCCCUCCUGUUCGUCGGGUGCCUUGCGAUCGGACAGUGUCGUCCUGUGGUUAGAGGAAGCAACCAAGAGAGUCGUGCCAAUAUUACCGCAAAUGCUACAACUAUUGCGGAUUCGUCGUCAUCAAGGGAGAGCUCGAGCAAACUGACGUUGAACUGGUGUUACCCAAGGGACUGCAACAAUCCUAACAAUCCGUUCUACACGAGACCGUGCUACUGCUGCCCCUUGCGACCGGACGAGCUGUGCUUUAGUAAUAUCGACGAUUGCCAUGCAGGGUGCCCGACUUGUCAUCCUACUUGCUGAUAUAUAGGCGUGUUCAUUGCUGUGACAUAAAGCUACUAGUUCGGUGUUAUUCGUUAGGUUGAUGGUAGUACACACUAGCUUUCCCACUACUAGUCUUUCUCUAUAUAUGUGCAACGCAAUAUAUAUAUGUAUGAUCGAGUUUAAAGAGAUGAACGAAGGAUAAUUCGCUAUAGUGUCCA